rnacentral:rRNA from 1 species
UGCAGUCGAACGGUAACAUAAUCAGCUUGCUGAUUGAUGACGAGUGGCGCACGGGUGCGUAACACGUAUGCAACCUACCUAUAACAGGGGGAUAGCCCAGAGAAAUUUGGAUUAAUACCCCAUAGUAUUAUUUAUUGGCAUCGAUAGAUAAUUAAAACUCCGGUGGUUAUAGAUGGGCAUGCGUUCUAUUAGCUAGUUGGUACGGUAACGGCGUACCAAGGCAACGAUAGAUAGGGGGCCUGAGAGGGUUAUCCCCCACACUGGUACUGAGACACGGACCAGACUCCUACGGGAGGCAGCAGUGAGGAAUAUUGGUCAAUGGAGGCAACUCUGAACCAGCCAUGCCGCGUGCAGGAAGACGGCCCUAUGGGUUGUAAACUGCUUUUGUAUGGGAAGAACUAGUUUUACGUGUAAGACUUUGACGGUACCAUACGAAUAAGGAUCGGCUAACUCCGUGCCAGCAGCCGCGGUAAUACGGAGGAUCCAAGCGUUAUCCGGAUUCAUUGGGUUUAAAGGGUCCGCAGGCGGACUAAUAAGUCAGUGGUGAAAGCCUGCAGCUUAACUGUAGAACUGCCAUUGAUACUGUUAGUCUUGAAUUCGGUCGAAGUGGGCGGAAUAUGUCAUGUAGCGGUGAAAUGCAUAGAUAUGACAUAGAACACCAAUUGCGAAGGCAGCUCACUAGGUCGAUAUUGACGCUCAUGGACGAAAGCGUGGGGAGCGAACAGGAUUAGAUACCCUGGUAGUCCACGCCGUANACGAUGAUCACUCGCUGUUGGCGAUACACUGUCAGCGGCCAAGCGAAAGUUUUAAGUGAUCCACCUGGGGAGUACGUUCGCAAGAAUGAAACUCAAAGGAAUUGACGGGGGCCCGCACAAGCGGUGGAGCAUGUGGUUUAAUUCGAUGAUACGCGAGGAACCUUACCUGGGCUUA